rnacentral:rRNA from 1 species
UACGUAGGGUGCAAGCGUUGUCCGGAAUUAUUAGGCGUAAAGAGCUCGUAGGCGGCUUGUCGCGUCUGCUGUGAAAUUUCGGGGCUCAACCCCGAACUUGCAGUGGGUACGGGCAGACUAGAGUGUGGUAGGGGAGACUGGAAUUCCUGGUGUAGCGGUGAAAUGCGCAGAUAUCAGGAGGAACACCGGUGGCGAAGGCGGGUCUCUGGGCCGAUACUGACGCUGAGGAGCGAAAGCGUGGGGAGCGAACAGG